rnacentral:lncRNA from 1 species
GUGAGAUUAGAGAUCGAGGGAGGAUCCGACCAUCCAAAUCGGCGGACCUCCGGACAACCUUCAAGUUCGGCACGAUGGCGAUGCAUGUCCGCCCAACCUUCAAAUCGGCAGACAACGACGCAAGGCCGACCAACCUUUAAGUCCGGCACGACGGAGACGCACGGCGGACCGUCCAUAACUUGCAAAUCCUUGUUCGGUAACCAUUAAUACCAAACCUACCCGCAAUCUGGUUGCCGGAGGAUCACGGUACUCUCCAUUGGUUCCGUUCCGUAGCGCCACCCGUUCAGAUCCACCAUUUACGUCGAAGAUACCACAUGUUUAUGCUUUUAUUGAAAGAUUUUGAAAUGGGUUCUAUUUUUCUUUGUUUAUUUAAUAAUUGAUAGGGCUUUUUUUCAAAUCAUAUAUUUUGCUAAUCAAAUAAAUAAUCAUCAGGUUGCAUUUUUAGUUUGUUGAAAAAAUUGUAUUAAUGGUGAGUUUGAUCUCCUGUACAAUGUUUUGAUAAAUUCAUGAAAAAGCUUCAUCUUUCUUUGUUGAUGAUGUGUUUGGAGUUUUUCAAACGGGUUUGAUCUGAAACUUAUAGACUUUGAAACCGCAGUUGCGGUUGGAAAAGGAAACAAUAUGAUCUUGAACGGAUCUGAUUAAGUACGUCGGAGAAAAAAAGGAUAAAGAUUUGUGGGUGUGAAGGAUGCGUGUUUGUAGGUGUGACGGUGGACGGCUGUUGGUGGUUAUGAUAGAGGAACGCACCCGGCGAUUUUUUACGUAAAGGGUGUAUUGGAAAGGUGCCAACAAAUCGACUGGACCAAUACAAAAGUGCCACGUGGACGGAACUCUAAAAUCAAAUAGGUUCCUCGAGUGAAACGUUACGAUGGUGUGUUUAAAGGGAACCGAAGUUGCUUUUUGUA